rnacentral:lncRNA from 1 species
UGUUAAGUCCCUGGCAAGUGUACCAGAUGGUUAUCAAGUAAUAUAAAUUGGGUAAGUCCAAGUAUCGUUUCCCAAAGGACUCUUAGGCCUUAACUUUCGUAUAAACCAAUCGCAUAAAACUUGAGAAAAGAAUUAAUUUUAGGUUUUGUAUGCAAAAGUAAACAUGCAAAUGCAGUGAUUCAAUUGGCUAAAAGAAACUAUGGAUGAAUGUUGUUGUUGGCGUUUACAAUUUUAUCUUAUCCACCCUCAUAUAUCUACUCUUCUUAUUUAAUUGGCUUAUUUAUCAUAUUGUCAUGCAAACUUUCUUGGUCUACCCUUAACCCAAUCUCUUGGCAAAAAGAGCCUAUUACUAAUUACCAGCUUGCUAUCUCUAGCCUCCCCUAGUAACUAAUAAUGCAUGAUAAAUGGAAACAAAAUACAAUUGAUC